AAAAUUGAAGCAGGAGAAGAAGAAAAAAGGGUGAGACUGAGAAGAUGAAAAAGAUGAAGAGGAUAUUGCAAGAUUUAUUUUAUUAAGAGUAAAAUGGUAUUUUCACUAUCCCGAUAUGCGUGAAGGAUGAAAUCAUGGGGUUGCAGGAAGAAUUUACCCGCUUUUCAUGCUCUUGCAAUGCUGUUCUUCGAGGAAGUACUUGCCCAAAAUUACUUCUUGCACCAUAUCACUGCACCCAAUUUCAGUCUAAAAAGAUAAAAAUGUCCUUAGAUAAAAUGGAUCACAUACAAAAAAGCAUUCUAGAUCCCCUUCUCCAUAAUAUGUUUCUGGAUUAUUUUUUUCCAGAAUAAUUUUUUUUAUUUCGAUCUUUAUUUCCAGAACACAAUAAUCUAUUUUUUGAAAUUUUUUUGGAUUUUUAGUUUCAGAAUGAAUGCCAUUUUUGGAAUUUUAAAACUAUGUAAGUGCAAUAAAUUCAAAAAAUUGAGUGUAGUAAAAUUGACUACAAAUUAAUUGUCAAUUAUGGUGAUUUCACUGUCACUGUACCAUGAAUCAAAGGGCUUGCCAAAAAGAAGUGUCUUGCUCAUAACAUUUUGGCUUUCCUUGUUUUUCAGAUUGAGUUAAACAAAGAGCAAACUUG
rnacentral:lncRNA from 1 species